UAUGAGGUGGUCGAUCUAAGUCGGUAGAUUGUAAAUCUAUGAAUAAGUUGUGUAACUUUCUCAUG
rnacentral:tRNA from 1 species